rnacentral:sRNA from 1 species
GGGUAAGGAAGUUCUGCUAAGGCCGCGACGUCCUGUCGCAACGCAGAACUGACCUGCCUCCUGCAGG